rnacentral:rRNA from 1 species
UACGUAGGGGGCGAGCGUUGUCCGGAUUUAUUGGGCGUAAAGAGCGUGUAGGCGGCUAUGCAGGUCCGUUGUGAAAACUCGAGGCUCAACCUCGAGACGCCGAUGGAAACCGUAUGGCUAGAGUCCGGAAGAGGAGAGCGGAAUUCCUGGUGUAGCGGUGAAAUGCGCAGAUAUCAGGAAGAACACCCGUGGCGAAGGCGGCUCUCUGGGACGGUACUGACGCUGAGACGCGAAAGCGUGGGGAGCGAACAGG